GCGAGGGUGGCGGAACUGGCAGACGCGCAUGCUUGAGGGGCAUGUGAGAAUUUUCUCGUAGGGGUUCAAGUCCCCUCCUUCGCA
rnacentral:tRNA from 1 species